GCCCGAUGUUACCGACGUUGCUGCCACCAUCGCCGCUGCUGUUACUGGCGAAAUUGUCGAGUUUUCUAUAAUAUUUAUUAUGCUACUGUUGCGGGAUCACUUGGUUGUUCUGCGGCUGCUUUUGCUCUACUCUGUUUCCCGCUGCUCUGCAACGUUCUGUUGUUCUCUGGAACGGCGUCCGAUGUCCGGGCGUCACCGUGAGGUCAUUCAGGCAGCAGCAGGCGCCCCAACCAGCUCCGACACCGGCGUCGUCGUUGUUGUUUCGGUCUCCGUCCGGCGAGACUUAUUCGAGCCACCGAGUGGCCACAGACAUAGGCAGGCCGGCGAUAUUUUCCCAUUGAGCAGUAACGUGCUUCAGCUAUGACACCACCACAGCGGCUGUUGGCAAGAAACAACUGCAGGCUCCAACGAUCUACCCAUACACAUAUAUCGAUGUCCAUGUGAUACCGAAUCAUUCUUCGGCAGGCAAUGAGAAGGGUGCGAACGAAAGCAUUUCUGCACAAGUUGAACAAAGACUUUGUUAGCAUCAUUGGCAGUACCCAUAUUACUAGUAGCACUAGUAUGGAGUCUUUGUGAUGGUGCAGUGGCAAUGUGUUUGUCUACCAAACAUAGACACAUGUGAAAUCCAGAUCCGAACCCGGACGUAGCCACACUCCAUUUAGUGCUGGGGACCACUCAUCUCAGGCAGUGCUAAAAGGCUGCACCGCACUUCGUGCGAUGCAACGUUACGGGACGCCGCUGUCGUGCCAGCACACUUGCUGCAGUUAUUGAUCCUCCGUCCUCCAUGAUGUUGACGCAGACUCUUCUUGCGCACUCCCGAAACCGCUUCAUCGGCGGGGUCGUUUUGGGCCGACUUGCCAACCUGAUCUCCGCAAAACAUUAGCAUUACCAACGAUCUUUGGAAGAAUCAGUAACGUCUCACUAUAGCAUCAUUACUCGAAAGGGAUUCGCGUCAGCAGUGGUCCUCCUUCGCCGCGGCCACCAGCGACGCCGCCUGAUUCCGCUUCCUCUCGUUCUGUCCGUCCCCAGCGUUGAUACCACGUCGCCGCCACCACGAGUAGAAUACGGAGAAGCGUAGUACUCAGCGCUGUGAGCGAUGUUCGCAUAGUCAAACGGCGCGUUGCCUGUUAUUACCUACCUAAGGCAGUUGUUGAGGCUGUCGCCGUCGCUUGUGCUGUCGUUGCUGCUGCAUUUCUUACAGCUGCCGUUACCGUUGUAGCUAUCGGGCAUCCGCAACGAUGGUGCUGGCCGAGUCUUCACGUAUGGUCGUGGCAGCACCGUCUUAGGAGGAUGGCCAGCGAAUGUCGUCGGCCAGCAAACGAACAUGGAGGACGGGUCUCCUCCAGUACAACUGCUAGCACAACUACUAGCACUAAGACUACUCGCUGCUUAAUAAGGAAGCACAGAUUAAUAUAUAUUAAUUGGAUUCCAUUAAGAGUGAAGAUGAGUGCAAGGAAGCGGGAUAAAGGCAGCACCAACAGCAGCACGGUAGCGACAAGGCAGUCGAGAAGGCCCAUACCAACAGAUCAGUUUGACGAAGAACUAGAAGCUAAAGAAGAAAAAAACAGCGGACGAUGAUGGACUGGGAACUGCGAAUCGACGAACAAACGGACGGUCGGUCGGUCGGUCGGUCGGUCGGACGGACAAACAAACAGUGGAUAGAGAGAAAGGAAAGAAAAAGAAAAAUAGACGACGAUGACGGCAACAAGAACGAGUGCAAACCUUAUAGAAGCGCUGAUGAGAGCAGUAUCUCAUAGCAUGCGUCAUAAAGGUUCUACUGAGUCUGCCGUCUCAGAUUCCGUGGCUAUCAGCGCUCAGGCAAAUACUAAUGGUAUGAAUAUUCUCGCUGGGCAUGAGGGGACGCGGAGUGAUGGUGCUGACAAAUUGACUUCACCGAGAUCGCCAUCGUUAUCAUGCGCUUGGUCAGCGGGACAACAAUACAAGUGAACGAAGCGACUGGAUAGCGGUGCGCGACCACGAACAUGUGCAUGCAAGCACGAAUGACCAUUCACUCCACGUGUUAUAAUGCAAUAGAGUAAUUAAUUAUAUGAGUCCUGUCGAGCUGAACAUCGUGCAAGCAGUUUGUGAAGAGACAGGAGCUGAUCUUGACACGAGAAGGGUCAAAUUGUGACAGGUGUUGUCGUCAACAACCAGCCCAACAAUUAUACUCCCGUAUCACCAGAAGGCCAUCACGAACCCAUUCGAUCUUUGGAACCGGAACAUACCUUCCUGGAAGUACUAUUCGAGCAAGUUCUUGAUUAGCACACAACACGAGCGCCUUUUGUCCAUCUCCAGAGAUUUUAGCAUGAUGUCGUCAUGGCCACGGAGACGUCCACAUCCCGCUGAGGUUGCCCCGAGCGAAAGCUAUGCCUAUGCAAAAAUUCUUUUGCCUCUUUCCCAUAUGCGCUACCAUGCUCAUUUGAACUUCUGCUUUUUCUUCUAACACUCACUGCCUCGUUUUCACCGAAUAACUUUUAUCCAGCAUUCUAACAAUUGAAAUCAAAAUAGCGUCCAACGACGCUAUUACGACUCACUGCUAUGAUACUGGUAGGUAAACGUCAUUUUCUUUCUCCAUAUAUCGUAUCUAUGUCGUAGCUUGUCGUCGCUAGCGAAAAUGAAUAGUCAUCAUAGAACCCUUCUCUGGAUAGAAAAGAAAAGAGAUUUUGUCCAGGCGCCUAUGGUCCUUUCGGCGCUUGUCGUAGACCGAUUGGCUUGUAAUGUCAAUCAACGUGGGCGCCAGCUAGCGAGCUCAAAUCCAGUCGAUAAUGAUUUUUGACGCACUCGUCCCGCUUUUGAUCUCACUCCUGCUCCUUUCGAUACGAAUAUGUAUGGCGUUGCUGUUGUCGUUAUUGCUACAAUCCGUUGUUGAUAUCUCUAUUUUCAAUUAGCAGCAUCCUCAACGGGCGGCUCUCUGUCCCUACCCGCCGUUCCUCUUACCGCCGUGAUCGCUAUUGCGACGGCUGAGCACCUCUCUUCGUUACUCGCCGGUCCUAGCUGCGACUCUAGUUGGUUCGCCGGCAUCUGGCAGCGCUGUUCGAUGCUCGAGGCUUGAUGCUAGCAUUAGCGAACGAUGGACGCAAACGAAGGAAAUGAAACGUUUGAAAGAAAGAAACACAUCAUAUGAUGAGAAUUUGAUCAAUUGGCACCUCUCAGUUGUCGGAACGGAUGGAGAUGAUGGAUGUGGACAUCCCCGACUGCGGGGCUGUAAGGUAGACAAACAGGCGUAGAGAGAGAUACAUCGAUAGGUAGGGAGAGAGAGAGAGAGAGAGAGGGGGGCAGACGACUCUGGUUGAGGGACCCGGCUGGUGCGGUGGCUCGUCUGAGCUGCUGCGAUAACUAUUGCAUUGAAUUCAACAACAAAACAGCGUCAGCAUCACCAACAUCGGCCACAACAGCAACAACGGAAAUCGACAAAAUCCCUUUGGCUAAUGUGCGAGUAAAUAGUGACGGACGAGCAGAUGGACAGGUGGCAAUGCAGGGGAAGGAAAAUGAUAAUAAUUAUUACAUUCUGCAUUCGUAUCGUUUUCGCUAAAUAUAGAGACCCAAGUUAAACCUAUAAGCCACGAAGGAGUAGGGUAUGGCUACGCAUUCAUAUAAUUAAAUUAGUCUAAUGGGCUAUAAAUAGAGAUAAGAUGCUGGAUAAAGUUCAGUUUGUUCUAUUUAGCAGAAUCAAAAUCCACUGAACAUCUACCUGAGACCGUUGAAUCGCACGCUCGGCUUUCCUUCUUAAUUGACACUGUCCGCUUAGUUUAACAACAGGGCGAUUCAGUAGCGAGCCUCGCAAUUAGUGGGUUUGUCAGGUCGUUUUACGCUCUGUGCUUUGUUGUAUUGUUGAAAAAAUGGCACCGAGAGAAGCCGAUAGAUGCAGAUUCGUACUAAUAGUUAUAUGCAAUAAUUGUACAUGCACCAACGAAAAACCCAUCUUCGUAAUGAUGAUGAUGGCCGCGCUGAUUGCAUGCCAUUUGUACGUAAGGCUGACGACGUCCUUAUCUUCCAAGAUCAUCAUCUCUACUAUACAUGUGGUGUGUAAUGAAUGAUUAUCAAUGGUUGAGAGACUGAGCCUCAGUGAAAGCCUGAAGUAGAAGAGAUGAGCAAGAUGCCGACCGCCUGUCACUUAGCAUCGAAUCUAGCAGUAUAAUACAACAGCCCUACGACAAUAAAACAGACAGCACUCAGUUAAUCUUUCUGGCUGUGGUGCCAGACCGCGCGUUAGAGACUCGGUACACCCCAUCUUCACCGAUUUUUCCAUCUCGGACCUUCUGAAAAAGAUCUCGUAACAAGAUACGAUGCCGUUGAACGAGAUAAUGCAGCAAAAAAGCAACGAUUUCGAUAAUGAGACCGAGAAGGGGGCUCAGAGUGAAAAUUACAUUAGGCAAAUUUUCUGACAGCUGGACUGACACCGUGGAUGCGUGCACUUUCAUCAGCAAAUUGAAGUGAGUAGCAUCAGCACCCUGCCAGGGCUAAAAUAUGCUGUUGAUGGUGGCUCUAAUGCUGUCGGUAUUGCUGUUCGAGCGCGUAUUACCUACCAAUGCUGCGUUUAGAGUCUCACUCUUGAAGAUGGCUAGGCGACGGAUGUACCGCAUCGAACCUUAGCUAAAUAACCAGGUUGCUCGGGGUGCCUGUUUUUGCGUGCCGAAGACCGUGUGCCAUUCUGUCAAGAUAGAAAGAUAGAACUCUGAGGUGCUCUUGCUAGGGUGCACGACUCGAACAUUAUAGAAUCUGAUUCGAAAUUAAGAUAGCAUAUCUCACCGGAUGGAAUCAUUACCGGUACGACAGUCAAUGCACGAAAGUUGUGUGCUUGCGAUAUGAACCUUAUUACAUUUGACCCUGAAGGAAAACACUUGUUCCGUACCGUCACUUUUCGAAGUAUUAACACUCCUAACUAACUAACUAACGGUGUGGUUCGCGUUUCCUAUUGGCCAUUUUUAAUGUGUACUAUAGAAAAUUGCUCGGGAUGUCGGACGAUUUGUAAUGUUGCCAAAUGAAAAAAGAGCUAGAAAUGCUGCCCAGCCAAAUCAGAGAAAAACCUAGUAGCUAGAA
rnacentral:lncRNA from 1 species